rnacentral:rRNA from 1 species
AUGUACCUCCUUGUGUACGUGGAUGAUAUUGUCCUCGUUAGCUCCUCUCCGACGGCUGCUGAUGCUCUUGUGACUGCGCUUGGUCGUGAUUUUGCAGUUAAGGAUUUGGGACAACUUCAUUUCUUCCUGGGUAUUGAAGUCGCUCAUCGGUCUCGUGGCAGUUUGGCUCUCACCCAGAAGAAGUACUCUCUUGAUCUUCUGCGCCGUGCUGGUAUGCUCAAGUGCAAGACAUCGCCUACACCCAUGUCCUCCACUGACAAACUUUCGGCUGCUGAUGGUACUCUUCUAUCUCCUGAGGAUGCUACCGAGUACAAGAGUAUUGUUGGUGGUCUGCAGUAUCUGACGAUCACACGUCCUGAUCUAUCCUUUGCGGUUAACAGGGUGUGCCAGUAUCUUCAUGCACCUACUAACAUGCACUGGUCUGCCGUGAAGCGCAUAUUGCGCUAU